rnacentral:antisense_RNA from 1 species
GCAGUGCUUAUAUUUUCUUUAGAAUAUGGAAUUUCUUCGGAAUGGAAUAGAGAUCUCCAAUGCUUUCUAAGCCAGAGAAGAUACCAAUAACAAUGUGCAAAAAUAGUAAGUGAUGUAGGUAUCCAAAGUUGGGUAGCUUCUCUAUUACUAGCACGAAGGAAUAACAAUGAAUAGCCUAUUAUAUGAUACGAAAUUCUGAAAAUGAAGAACGUUAUAAAGAACAUCUUUUGGGAGAAUUUCCUGUUGUUAUGUGGAAAAAUUACGUAAAUAGAUAUAAAAUAAGUUGGAAUUUCCUCAGGUAGAGCAACAAGCAAUAUAUUAUAAGACUUCCAACGCAUAAUAUAUAAGGUUAAGAUGAUAUAAGCAGUAUGGUGAAUCCAACCAUUUAAAAUGAACAUUUGCUUUCUGAAAUACAAGACUCCAAAAAUAAGGUCAAAUAAAAGUGAAGAUAAGAAUAAAUUUAACAUGAAUUUAUAAUAUCCAUAGGAAUCAUAUUGAAGCCAUUUUAACAUAUCCAUUUCAAAUUGGAAAUAUUUAAACCAGAGAUCAAUUACAACAGGCCAACAUAUGAAAGAUAUAAUGGCAGAUGAUAUAUACUGGAAAACACAUCUCAUUUUAUUUUGAUCUGUAUUAUGUUUGUUUACUAAAUAGUACCAGAGUAGUACAAUGAAGGUACUUGAUAAGGUGAAACUAACACCAUGAACUUUCCAGAAUUCCUGUGUAAAUGGGAAUGCCAAAGCUAUUAGAAUUCUAGUUAGUGAAGACUCCAUUUUAUAAGAGUAAUAUAAUUAAUUAAACUUUCA